UAUAACAUUUUAUUAGGCCUACUCUAAGCACUGAGGGAAAAUACUGAGAAUAUCCUUUAAACAGCAAAUUACAGUAUUUGUAAAGUCAUUUUCUGUGACAAGUUGUGCUGGAAAGUCUUUAAGGUCAGAGUUCCACUUGGAGAUUAAGCACUUCCCUCAGUCUGAUUCUGUUAUAACCAGGUUGGCCCAGAGUCAAAGCUUAAUGUGUACCUAGAAGUGACCUAUUCAACAUUUAGCAAUCUGGCUAGUGAUUGUAGAAAUCAGACUCUCUUACGGUCACAAAUAAACAACAAAUAAGAUUUUUCUAAUGUUUAUUAAAGGUUUAGAAACUUCACAAUUUGCAACUGAGAGAGUUCUGCAUUAAAAGUUAUACAACAUUGCAAUCAGAACGUAAACCUUUUAAGAACUUGAAAGUCAACCUCUUCAAAUGUACUGACUAAACCAAAACCUUUGAAAAAAAAGAAAAUGCAAAUAAUGCAAUUUUCAGUCUUCCACAGACAUGAGUACUCGGUCUUUCUUCAGCAACCAUACCACCUCGCACACAGAGCUAGACUUGAAAAAUACAAAAAAAAAGUCGUCACUUUUUUUUUAUUUUAAAAUGAGUCUGUUCAAACUAAGAGAGGAACCAUUUCAAAUUUGUUUAACAGUAAAUAAUCGGUCUAUGCUGUUCUGUUAUAUUUGACUGUCAAAAACAUUUACUAUAUUUAUGCAUUUUCUCAAAAUCUAAAAUGCUUUUGUCCUCUGUCACCCACCCACCAUAAACAAGUUUCUUAAUCUUAUCAUAAACCAAACUAAUGCAAGUAACAAUUUUGGAGGACGGCAAUAUUUAACUCAAAGUGCUUGACAGAACAAGGAUUAACUUGGGUAUAGAUUAGAGAAAGUGAUGGCAACAAUGUGUAAUAGAAUUUCGGAAUCUGACAGCAUUUUAAACUGUAAAAAUUAAAUUGAAUUGUAACAUGUUAUUUGUCAACUAAAUACAAAUCCAAUAAAGGAGUCUAUACGCACUGCUGUACCCAGUUAUAGCAUACAGUAUAAUAACUUUAUGCCAUCAUACUUGCUUUCUACCACUUUACAUUUCAUUUAUGAUCUUUGAAAAACAAUAAUCAAACUCCCACAACCACAAUGAGCAAAUAAUGUGGGGAAACACAAACACACAAGCCGUUUCAAACUGGGUCAUACAAAAUCAUCUCUCCAAGGUUAUGGUCUACAGCCUUUUCCAUACAGUCUUGGAUUACACACUUUAACAAACUAGGUCUUGAGCUAGUCUCAAGAACAAGGCCCAACCGGUUUGUUAAAAUAAGCACAAAUCUUUCAGAAAGACUGUGUGGCCCUUUUUCUUACACACAUUUGAAGAUUACGUCUUUGCUGUAGUGUAUGAACAUUAGCACCAAUACAUAAAAUACUUUAUAGAUCUUACUGUCAAGAUCACAAAUGUACCCCAAAGUGUAUCUCAGAACAAGUCAACAAAAUAAACCUUUUCACUUGUAAAGGGGAAUAAGCACAUUUACAUUGUUUUUAUCUUUUUUUCUUAUUUUUUUUUUAUUUGACAUUUGAUGCCAGAGAAAGUUUAAAAACUUAAAUCCUUGUGCCCAAUUAAGGACAAGUUUUUCAAAGGUAUCUGUUGGUCAUUGUUGAAUGGGGCGAUAUCAUUUCUAUUUCAUUACCACAUUCAAAUUCCCCCCUUAAAAUAUUUAUCAAUAAUGCUUUAAACCAAAUUUCCCACAGAAGUGGUACAGAAAAAAUGCACACAUUUUCAACUAAGAAAACCAAAGCAUUGAGGGUGCUCCAAAAAAGCAACUUUUCCCAAAUUUCACUUGUAAAUUCACACUUCUUAACAAUUUACACUCUGCUGAUGUAGCAUACAUGUAGUAUUUCUCAUGCUAACAUCUGCAACAAAACUGAAUGAACUGAGGGAAAAUACCCAUCCAGGCUAGAUUAAAGCUAGCAGAUGGCAGGCUAGACAUCCAUUAAGGUCAAGAAGCAGACGAAAAUGAAUGGAUAAGAUGGUAUUAGAGCAAAAAUUAUUUAUGUUGGAUUGGAUUUUGCAUUAUGAACGCCAUACUCCUACCACCUCUCAUUCAACAGCCACAAAAAAUUAUAUAGGCAAGCGACUUAUCAAACUUUAUAGGAAAAGUAAUUUGGGCCUUAUUCAUGGGGGUGGGGGGUGUAGUAAAUAAAAGUAACGCAUGUCACAAAUAAACCCCAUGUAUUUUUUAACAAAAAUACAUCAACAUCGUAAGGUUGUAGAGUUAUGGUGUGCCAAAAUACUAUAUUGCUUUUGUAUAUCCCUCUUCAUUUGAGAUCUUACUAUGCCAUAUGACAUCAGCACACAAUGAAACAGCCACAUAUUUCUGAAACAAGUAGAAGGAAAAGUACAUGAAGUUAAUCAACCUUCAAGCAAUCGACUGCCAUUACUGGAAACACUCAAUUCUUUUCAUGUAAAACAAAA